UACGAAGGGGGCUAGCGUUGCUCGGAAUGACUGGGCGUAAAGGGCGCGUAGGCGGUUUGGACAGUCAGGCGUGAAAUUCCUGGGCUUAACCUGGGGGCUGCGCUUGAUACACCCAGACUUGAGUGGGGAAGAGGGUCGUGGAAUUCCCAGUGUAGAGGUGAAAUUCGUAGAUAUUGGGAAGAACACCGGUGGCGAAGGCGGCGACCUGGUCCUUUACUGACGCUGAGGCGCGAAAGCGUGGGGAGCAAACAGG
rnacentral:rRNA from 1 species